rnacentral:tRNA from 1 species
GCUUUCGUGGUGUAAUGGUCAGCACACUGAGCCGGUAUUUCAGAGGUCCGUGGUUCGAUCCCCGGAGAAGGAA